rnacentral:tRNA from 1 species
GCCUAGUUAGCUUAGUUGGUAGUGCGUCUGCCUUGUAAGCGCUAGGCCGCGGGUUCGAUUCCCGCCCCGGGCC